CCUACGGGAGGCAGCAGUGAGGAAUAUUGGGCAAUGGACGGAAGUCUGAACCAGCCAUGCCGCGUGCAGGAAGACGGCUCUAUGAGUUGUAAACUGCUUUUGUACAAGGGUAAACCUGAAUACGUGUAUUCAGCUGAAAGUACUGUACGAAUAAGGAACGGCUAACCCCGUGCCAGCAGCCGCGGUAAUACGGAGGAUCCAAGCGUUAUCCGGAUUGACUGGGCUUAAAGGGUGCGUAGGCGGAUUGAUAAGUUAGAGGUGAAAUGACCGAGCUUAACUCGGGAACUGCCUCUAAUACUGGUGAACUAGAGAGUAGGUGCGGUAGGCGGAAUGUAUGGUGUAGCGGUGAAAUGCUUAGAGAUCAUACAGAACACCGAUUGCGAAGGCAGCUUACCGGUCUAUAUCUGACGUUGAGGCACGAAAGCGUGGGGAGCAAACAGGAUUAGAUACCCGGGUAGUC
rnacentral:rRNA from 1 species